UUCAGUUGUGAUGUUAGGUUGUUAACUUGAGAUCUUUCUGACUUUUUAAAAUGUGGGCAUUUAGUGUAAUGAAUUUCCCUUUUACAUUGCCUUAGCUAUGUCCCAGAGAUUCUGGAACAUGGUAUCUUUAUUCUCAAUAGUUUCAAAAACUUAUUGAUCUCUGCCUAAAUUUUAUUAUUUACCAAAAAGUAAUUCAGGAGCAUUUGUUUAAUUUCCAUGUAAUUAAACAGUUUUGAAUGAUUUUCUUAGUCUUGACUUCUGUUUUCAUCGCACUGUGGUCUGAGAGUGUGUUUGGUAUGAUUUAGAUUUUUAUUUGCAUUUGCUGAGGAUUGUUUUAUGUCCAACUAUGUGGUAGAUUUUAGGGUAUGUGCCAUGUAGUAAAGAGAAGAAUGUAUAUUCUGUUGUUUUGGGGUGGAGAGUUCUGCAGAUGUCUAUUAGGUC